GAAGGUUGCUGGUCUCUGCUCCGGUGUUUCCGUUCGUUGGCUCCGUUCGCGGAAAGUCGUCGCUUAGACCGGUGUGACAGAGGAGUUUUUGUGUACGAAGUGAUCGCGAGGAUCGUUGGGUCGAUCCUUGCUCCAGAUCGGUGAGGUGUUCUAUUCUGCAAGCGGAGGCUGCUUCUUCCUAUCUAAGGACUGGUAUCCGGAUUUCGUUGCCGCGCCGCGCCGCGCUGGUUUCGCUCCGUGCUAGCCGCUAAGCAGUGAUUAAUGGACUGGAGCCAUUGAAUUCGGGCCGACCGACGGAAAAUCGGCCGGUAGUGAAAAUUUGGACUGUAGAGAAAGAAAGGGAGAGAAAGAGAGAAGAGAAAGAGAGCGAGAAAGGGAGUAAGGGAAGAAAUAGUGGUACAGGUGAAGAGAGAGAAAAGUGAUUUUAUUCUCCCUUGUGAGUGCAGACGCCCGUUCGUGACGGAAGUUCGAGGACCAUGACGGAGGGCGAGCCCAACGUAAGUGUAAGUGUCCAUACUGUAACUGUAAAUCCAUAUCAAGACAGACAGCAAAGCAGUAUAUUAUUGGUGAGUUGUUCGAUUGAAUUGAAAAAAGAAAAAUAUGAAAACGUAAUCCGCGAAAAUUAGAUUGUGCCGGCAUAGUUAUAAGAAUAAUCUGUGGCGGAAGAGAUAAAUAAGUAUGACUUGAAAUGAAAAUAAAUCCUAUUGUUUUGGCAAAAUACUCCUGAGAACAGGAGUCUUCAAUCGUUGAUUAUUCAGCAAAUGUUGGUUUUCAACUGAGAGAUCUAAUUUUCACAUUCAACUAAU
rnacentral:misc_RNA from 1 species